GAUGAAGAACGUAGCGAAAUGCGAUAAGUAAUGUGAAUUGCAGAAUUCCGUGAAUCAUCGAAUCUUUGAACGCACAUUGCGCCCCCUGGUAUUCCGGGGGGCAUGCCUGUCCGAGCGUCAUUGCAACCUUCAAGCGCGGCUUGUGUGUUGGGUCUCGUCCCCCGUGGACGGGCCCGAAAGGCAGUGGCGGCGUCCCGACAUGGUGCCCGAGCGUAUGGGAAUCCUCUUCCGCUCGAAUCGGCCCAUGCGGCGCUGGUCGUAACCAAAUUUUUUACCGGUUGACCUCGGAUCAGGUAGGGAUACCCGCUGAACUUAAGCAUAUCAUAAGCGGAGGA
rnacentral:misc_RNA from 1 species